rnacentral:lncRNA from 1 species
UCCACACACAGGCAGGCAACUGGUGUCAGAGAGGGGGGGUGGCAGCUGACCUGAGAGGUGCAGACACUGGGUAGAUGCUGCUGCCAGGCCUGUGGACAGAGUUGGAAUAUAUGAGAGGUUCAUGUUUGGUGCCAUCCUGUUUGCCUUUCUUUUCCUCCUCUGUCUCCUGGGUUUCCCCCCCUGACCCCCAAAGCACCUAAUGCCUUCAUGUUUCCCUCUGGCCAUGCAAAGCUCUCUACAAUUUUACAUCUCCCAGAGUUGAAUAUGUGCCUAUCAUGGGGGUGAUUUCAACAUUAUUAAAAUAAAUUGGUUGAAAGGAUGGGCUAUUAAAAGGACUGUUUUUUUCCGGUUUUCUACUGCUUUUAACUAUAAUGAUUAAAUUGUAAAAUAGUAAAGUCAGCCCCAUUUUCCUUUACCUUUUCGAAAGGUGUGAUUAAAUUUAGGCUUAGGAUUUGAAAACUAAGGUUAUUAACGAAGGGACAGUUCUCUCUCUAUAGUCUUUACAGUAGUAGAAGGAAUUUUUGAGAAUUAGAUUGUGAUGUUUUUUUCAAUAAUUAUAAUGCUCUUUAGGGAGGAAUUUUUCUUUUCCAUUUUAUUUUUCUGAAAUAGCUAUUGCCUCUUUUAUUUUUUUUCUUUUUCAUAAAUUAGCAUCAAAGAAUGAAUAUGAGAAAAGAAGAGAUGAAUUGAAGAAAAAGAAAGCUCCUGGUCUAGGCAAACUUCCACUGACACUUUCCUCCAACUAUCCAGAAGAUGAUCCAGAUUACUGUGUGUGGGUCCCACCUGAAGGUAGAUGGUUUUUACUUUUCUUUUCCUCUAAUAUUUAUUUAUUUAGGUUUCUGAAUAGGUAAUAUAUAUUUAAGGUUCAGUAUAAGAACAUUACAAGAGUAUGUAGUGGAAAAGUCUCCCUUCUGGGUAGAUUAAAGGAUCUGAAAGACAUAUCAACCAAAUAUAAUUUGUGUAUUCUGUUUGGAUCUUUAUUCAAACAAACAAUUAUUAAAAAAAAUUAUAAGCCAGUCAGAUAAUUUUGAACACUAGCUAGAUAUGUGAUGAUACUAGGAAAUUAUUGUUAAUUUUUUUUAA